rnacentral:piRNA from 1 species
UGAAAAUGAGUCUGUAUACAAGGCU